rnacentral:lncRNA from 1 species
UCUUUUCUAGGGCAGCACCCGCAGCAUGUGGAGGUUCCCAGGCUAGGGGUCUAAUCGGAGCCUAAGCCACCAGCUACAGCCACAGCCACAGCAAUGCCAGACCCAAGCCACAUCUGCGACCUACACCACAGCUCAUGGCAACGCCGGAUCCUUCACCCACUGAGCAAGGCCAGGGAUCGAACCUGCAACCUCAUGGUUCCUAGUUGGAUUCGUUAACCACUGAGCCAUGAUGGGAACUCCUAUUUUGUUUUUGUAAACAAACUUUAUUACAAUUUAAAGGCUUUUCAAGAAUUCAAAUAUGAUACAGCUUAUUCUAAUCAGAAAGUCAUAUUUAGUCACUUCCAAUGUUUGGAGACUACCCUCCAUCUAAUGCUAUGCUGUUGUUUUUAUGGCCCCACGAUAAUCCUGAUUUUAGAAAGUCAAACAACAGAAGACAGCUAUUUGUAACUCUAGCCCAGAUGACAAGGGCAGAGUUUCUAGAACUCACUCUGGGAACAGUUUGCCCCUUGCUAUCAGCCUCAUUUCCAUUGAAACAGGAUAAAAGAGGGGAACUUCCUACAUACACAAAGCCCAGUGACUAUCUGGUCAGUCUGGGAGAACGUGCUGGUCACCCCAGCCUAUAUUCCAUAAUUAUGCCUUCAAACAUGUUCACCACAAGAAGCAGAGUACUCUAGCUGCUAUCAGAGCCCUCAAAGAGACUUCAUAACAUCCAGUUCAACAGAUAACAAGUCACAAAGAGACACCAUUCUUUGCAAAUGACAAUAAAUUUUUCAUCUCAGGCUUUUGAUGUGAAAGGACAUAUAUUUAGAAGGAAAAGCUUUUAUUACAGCUAAUCACAAAAAAGGGGGCUUUUUUAAAAGGAAAAAUUUAUCAGGAGUUUCUUCAGUCAAACGGUGUGAUCUGGGGCUUUAUUUCUGGAGAUGGUGUGUCUCUGAGGACAAUGGAAACUGCUGCAACAUCAUCCGAUUGCUCCCUCCCGGUCAACACAAGCAGCCCCUUACAAAUGGGCUCCAGCCGGCCAUGAAGGUGGGGAUGAAAAUUGUCAAUCGCCUCACAUUUAUUUAACCUCAUAUGGUCCUCAUGGGUUUCAUUUCUUCAGUCUGAGCUUUGUAGAUUCUGCUGUUCUGCUUGCUAAUGACAUUAAGGAGUGUCCUGUCUCAUCUAUGAGCAGUUGCCAUUUUUAACAAAAGCUAAAAAAAAAAUUGGAAGCUCCAAAUUCACUAAAUAUACAGAUGCAAAGGAUUCCUGCAGAACAAACUAUUUGUACUAAAUCUGAUUUUUAAAAGAACUGAUGGAGAAAUAUCCGUGUGUGUGUGUGCGCGCUCAUGCAAACCCAUCAUGAUAAAAAGCAGAUAUAUACUAUGAAGGGAAAAAAUUUAGCUGUGUUCCGCACUUUAGAAAAUCAACUUUCUCCCUGUAAUUAUAUUAAUAUUCUGUCAAGGGUGGUGUCUAUAUAGUUCAGCCCUGUUUAUUGAUUACACAUCCAGCACUUCAACUCCGGUACCCUUCUUAAGGAGACUGGGUCAGUGUCAGGGUAGCCUGACCAGCUUGCCUCUCAGGUGAAGCUGGCCUCCUCAAGUCCUGGCCACAGUUAUUUUUUCCUGCCUGCUGGCUUCAAAGACUCAGUGAAAAUAAAAACAUCAAAAGCAUCUCAGUUUGGGCAACACUCCUCGUGAAAAUGUUCACUUUAAUGACACUGUAAUGUCGAGCCCCUCGGUGUGUCAUUUUAUUGUGAGACUUAAUCAAAAGCAAAAAAGAAAUAAAGAUGUCUGGCUUGGGUGCAGGUGCUUCUUUGCUGGAGUGCUGUCCUGGGAAAGGGAGAGUGGUCCACAAUAGAGGCUUAUGCACAAAAGCUGAGCUGCCCAGGGUCUGCACAUGUGUUUUUGUGUGAGUCCAAAGGUCUGCAUGUGUGCUUUGUAUAGACCCAUAUAUAUGGACCCCUGGAUUAAAACAAACAAAAAAAAAUACACAAACACACACACACACACACACACACAUACAUACAUACAGAGGGAGAGAAUGAAUGUGUCAGGGAGCCCUGGAGUUACAUGCAUGCAGUAGUAUGUAUGUACGUCCAUGCAUGUAUGGAGGAGUGGGGAGUGUUUGUAUGAGUGAUUGGUCUGUAUGGAUGUGGUAUACAUGUGUGGUGUGUGUGUACUUUGUCGAGGUAUGUGUAUGUGGUAUGUGUGUAUGUUCAUGGGGAGUAUGCAUGCACUGUGUGUGUGCAUUUGGAGGGUAUGAUGUGCAACUGCAUAUAUGUGUUUGUGUGCACUGUGUGGUAUGUGUGUGUGUGGUGUAUGUCCAUUCAUCUGAUGUGGGUGUAUUUGCAUGUGGUAUAUGUGCAGGCAUAUGGUAGUGUGUGUGCAUGUUGUGGGUGUGUAAACACAUCAAUGUAUACUCACAUGUACAUGCAUAUGUACAUAUGAUCAGCAGAGUCCUCUAUAGACCCUGGGAAUCAUGUGUUCUUUCUAUAGAAAUGUCUUCUAUUUGUGGGCACAUUUGGCCAAUUGGGCUGCCCGUGGCCCUAUAUAUCAUUAGGGACCAACCACUGUUAUUCAAAGAAAAGACAAAACAUUUAACCUAGUGCCAAGCUCACAGUGGUCACUCAGUUUGGUAAAUGUUUUUGAAGAAGGGGGAAAAGAGGGGGAAAAAAAAAUCUCGAAAUUAGGAUUUUUUUUACCUUGGCAUUGAUAUUAGGAUUUAAGGGAUGAUACUAAGAAAUCAUACCUCUUCCUUGAUGGGUUCUGAACCCAUUGAGGAUAUAGACCUAAAUCAGCAGACCUGAAAUGAUCAGCUUUAUUUCCAAAAAGGCUGCCCUGGAGAACUUGCUUUGACCUCUGACAGAACUGACUUGACAGCAAGAACCCUGAUUUCCCUCCAAAGGGUUGAGCCUCUCUGCUGAGUUUAUGGCGCAGAGGGGCUGGACUUUCACACAUCAUGACCCUCUUCCCAGGCAGGGAAGGGGAUGGAAAAAAGGACAGAGGCUUUCUCCCCAAGUCUGCCCUUCUUCCACAAGGCAGAAGUUCCUACUUUACCCAAGAUUUAAAAUUAAAAAAAAAAAAAAGGUGAAAGAAAAUGAAUUCCUUAUGAUCCAAAGAUUUUUCUCUCUUAACCACCAGCCUUCAGCAUCCAGGUCCAAGGAGUAUGAGGAGAGUGCGGAGCCCCCAUGGGGGCGGAGAUCAGUGGUUAACCAGGAUACCCUCAUGUAUCCCAUACAUCAUAGUCCUCCACCAUCUGGUCCUUUUCCAUGUUUAUCUCUGUUUUUCUCCAAAUCCUUUUCUUCCAGCAAACCCAGACCUACAUACCCAUAGGAAUUCCCAUCUUUCUACUCUUACACUAAUGUCACAUUUAGGUAAGUUAACCUUAUGAGAAUUCAGCCUUAUGCAAUCUUCCCACCACCCCAGUCAUUCUUCCACUCCAUGAGUGGCACAUGAGAUAUACAUAGAUUGUGUCUCCUUUUGAGCAAGGUUCAUGCCACUGCUGACUAUUCCCCCUUCUCAAACUGAACACCAGUACCUCAACUUUGUUCCCCAAUAUUUAACAUGCUUUCAUAUCAGCUUAGCUUGGGCAUCAAAAAUGUAGAUGCAUUCAUUUCUCCAUCCUUGAGCUCACUUAGGCUUGUUCUCAGGAAACCGAGAUACAGCUUAGAGACACCAGAGAGCCAACCACAGAGGCAAAGGACCACUCCUUGUCCCAUACCAACCUUCAGUUGUCACACAUCCCCAAGCGUUUUGACUCUAGUUCUUAAACUAAUGUUAUUUUUUGUUCAACACCAUCCCAAACACAAGCCAACUAUAGAAAUUUGAGAGGUGGCAGAGGCUCUGUAGACCAAAGAAGUGGGAAUCUGUGCUAACUGCCGGAAAAAGUGACCGGGCUGAGCUAGAAGACAGAAGGUGCACGCACACCACAGAAUCAAGACAAGAACCUACACUCUGGUAUAUUUAAGGGAGUUUUAAGAGUACAAUCUAACUUUCCAUGAAUUUAUGUUCAUAUACCCCUCUAUUAAGUGCAAUUCCUGCAUAAAACAUGACACUGCUAUGCCUAAUCCAAGUGCCCAACCCAAUACCCUCUUUGUUUCAAUGCACAGUUGCAGUCCCUCCUACUCCUUACUGCGGCUUCUGACCACUGAGCCCUCAGUGAUGGCUCCCUUCUCUGGACUCACUGGAUACCUGUAUCAUUCUCCCGGAACAAACUUGUAUCAUUACCCAUCAGGUUAUGGGUGAUGUGUAUAUACACAGCCAAUCUGUCUGAUGGGUUUAUAACCCCUGGAAGACAGAGACCUUAGCUCUUAGUCUUUGCAUUUCUAGCAUCCAGCCAGAGUAAACUCUGGGUAAACAUGUAAGAUGGCAAUGAAUGAAUUAAAAAUAUGGUUCUUUGGAAGGAUCCCAAAGUCAAGGUGCCAAGAAAAAUGUUUGCACAUUCUGUCCACCUAGAAAUGCCUGUUCAUCCUUUAUGAUCCAAAUCAAAUGCCAGCUCCUCUUCACUGUAGAUGAGACAGAGACAAACACAGGAUUUGCAGUCAGCCAGAGAGGGAUUCAAAUAUUUUCUGCACCACAACUGGGCUGAGUAAUUUUGAGUAACAAGUGUUCUGAAGCCUUGAUUUCUACUUCUGUUAAAAGGAAACAGUGAUAUCUACUUUAGAAGGCCCAAAUAAAACUGUAUAACAUAUGCAAAGUGUUUAGAACAAGGCAUACAUGGAAUAAAUGGUAAUUAUUAAUAUUCUCCCCAUGUUCUCCUCUGUGCUCCCAUCCCACUUUGUACGUGUUGCUGUCACAGCCCUUUUACACUACAUUGUGAGUAUUUGUGUCCAACAUCUGUCUCCUCCACUAACAGGCUGGGAGCUCUUUGAGGACAGGGAUUAUUCCACUUUUAUGAACACUUAUUUAUGGCCAGGCUCUGUGCUAGGCCCUGUAUGUAUACUAUCUCAUUUAAACCUCACAACAAACAAGAAGAGCCCCAUCUUCAUCUUUAAAGAUGAAGAAUUUAAUCCCCACUACAACUGACUAUUAUCCCCAUUUUAAACAUGAGAAAACUGGCCUUUAGAAGGUUUUUAAAAACUUGCACACAAGUUCACAUGGGUACAAGUAAUGCAGGUGGCCUCUGUACCCAUGUCACUCCAACUCCAGGUCCAUAUCCUUAAUCACUUCACUAUGUUGGAACCAAGGAUAUCUUAGCCAUCCUUGCAUCAAACCUCUAAAACUUAGUAGCAUGUAAGUGGAAUAAACAUUUACAAAGUAAUUAUUUAGUAAAUAAAGGGAUUCCGAGUUUAUAUAAACGAAUAACUAUGUUCGAACUUGAGGUGAUCCUAUAUCUAGAACAUUGCCUGAGACGUGAAAGCAAUGGCCUAAGUAACUUUCAGAAAAAAUGCCUCUAAAUUUACUGGCUCCUGUUUCAUUGGAGGUAUACAUUUAGUAUAUAAUGGAAAAUCAUUGUUUAUAUCCCAAAGAGAUUCUCCCAUAGGUCCUGAGGGAGGAUGCUCAUUGCAACACUAUAUGUAGAAGGAGGAAACUGGAGUAUCAUCACUGGGAGAGUAGAAAGGCAGCAUGUGAUAGAAGUUCACCCUGAGGUACAGCCACCAUAAGAAUGGAUCAUAAAUGGACAAGCAACAUGGAUUCUUCUUAAAGGCAAAGUGUUGAGUGAAAGAAGACACAAAUUGAGACUCAUAGCUGUGCUUACACAAUAUCAUUUAUGUAAUUAAAAACUGCAUAUACACAUAGCCUAGCACUCAUUCUGGUGGUGUAGCUGGUAAUUAAGAGCAUAAUUUAAGACCUCAACUGCCUAGGCUCAAAUUCAAAACUUUUUGCUUAGUAGCUGAGUGAUCUUAGGCAAGUUACUUAUCCUCUCUGUACCUCACUUCUUUCUUCUACUAAAUGGGGAUAAUAAAGGUUCUUAACUCAUACAAAUUACUGUCUAGGAGUUCCCGUCGUGGCGCAGUGGUUAACGAAUCUGACUAGGAACCAUGAGGUUGCGGGUUCGAUCCCUGCCCUUGCUCAGUGGGUUAAGGAUCCGGCAUUGCCGUGAGCUGUGGUGUAGGUUGCAGACGCGGCUCGGAUCUCGUGUUGCUGUGGCUCUGGCAUAGGCUGGCGGCUACAGCUCCGAUUAGACCCCUAGACUGGGGAAACUCCAUAUGCCGCGGGAGCGGCCCAAGAAAUAGCAAAAGACAAAAAAAAAAAAAAAAAAAAAAAAAAAAAAAUACUGUCUAUAGGGGAUGAAAUGAGGAUGGGAUAAAAAGGAAUAAAUUCAGACAAACAAAAGGAGCUUUU